GCGGGAGUCGCCAAGUGGUAAGGCGUCAGCCUUCCAAGCUGAUAUUCGUGGGUUCGAAUCCCAUCUCCCGCU
rnacentral:tRNA from 3 species